ensembl:misc_RNA Metazoa_SRP Metazoan signal recognition particle RNA
GUUGGGCGUGCUGGCCUAGUGCCUAUAGUCCUUGGGAGGUUGAGGUGGGAAGAUCACUUGAACCCAGGAGUUCCAGGCUUUAGUGCACUAUGCCAAUCAAGUGUCUGCACUAAAUUCAUCAUCAAUAUAGGAAGCUCCUGGGAGUGGGGGAGUACCAAGUUGCCUGAGGGGUGAAGUAGCCUUGGUUGGAAACAGAGCAGGUCAAAACUCCUAAGCUCAUCAGUGCUGGAGUCACACGUAUGAAUAGCCACUGUACUGCAGCCUGGGCAACAUAAUGAGACCCUGUCUCGGU